rnacentral:rRNA from 2 species
CCCUAGUAACGGCGAGUGAAGCGGCAACAGCUCAAAUUUGAAAUCUGGCUCUUUUAGAGUCCGAGUUGUAAUUUGCAGAGGGCGCUUUGGCUUUGGCAGCGGUCCAAGUUCCUUGGAACAGGACGUCACAGAGGGUGAGAAUCCCGUACGUGGUCGCUGGCUAUUGCCGUGUAAAGCCCCUUCGACGAGUCGAGUUGUUUGGGAAUGCAGCUCUAAAUGGGAGGUACAUUUCUUCUAAAGCUAAAUAUUGGCCAGAGACCGAUAGCGCACAAGUAGAGUGAUCGAAAGAUGAAAAGCACUUUGGAAAGAGAGUCAAACAGCACGUGAAAUUGUUGAAAGGGAAGCGCUUGCAGCCAGACUUGCUUGCAGUUGCUCAUCCGGGCUUUUGCCCGGUGCACUCUUCUGUAGGCAGGCCAGCAUCAGUUUGGGCGGUAGGAUAAAGGUCUCUGUCACGUACCUCUCUUCGGGGAGGCCUUAUAGGGGAGGCGACAUACUACCAGCCUGGACUGAGGUCCGCGCAUCUGCUAGGAUGCUGGCGUAAUGGCUGUAAGCGGCCCGUCUUGAAACACGGACCAAGGAGUCUAACAUCUAUGCGAGUGUUUGGGUGUCAAGCCCGAGCGCGUAAUGAAAGUGAACGGAGGUAGGACCCCGCAAGGGUGCACUAUCGACCGAUCCUGAUGUCUUCGGAAGGAUUUGAGUAAGAGCAUGGCUGUUGGGACCCGAAAGAUGGUGAACUAUGCUUGAAUAGGGUGAAGCCA